CCCUUAGAUGUUCUGGGCUGCACGCGCGCUACACUGUCGGAUUCAGCGAGUCAUAUCCUUAACCGAAAGGUUUGGGUAAUCUUUUGAAAGUCCGACGUGAUGGGGAUUGAUCAUCGCAAUUAUUGAUCAUGAACGAGGAAUUCCUAGUAAGCGCGAGUCAUCAGCUCGCGUUGAUUACGUCCCUGCCCUUUGUACACACCGCCCGUCGCUACUACCGAUUGAAUGGUUUAGUGAGAUCUUCGGAUUGGCGCCUACGCGGCUUCUCUGAGGCCACGCUGGAUGCCGAAAAGUUGCUCAAACUGUAUCAUUUAGAGGAAGUAAAAGUCGUAACA
rnacentral:rRNA from 1 species